rnacentral:pre_miRNA from 1 species
GAGGAUACUACACAAGUGUCUCGAUUAUGGGCCUUAGGGCCUAUGUAGACGACGGGAAAGUAAUUGAG